rnacentral:rRNA from 1 species
UACGUAGGGUGCGAGCGUUAAUCGGAUUUACUGGGCGUAAAGCGAGCGCAGGUGGUUUAAUAAGUCUGAUGUAAAAGGCAGUGGCUCAACCAUUGUGUGCAUUGGAAACUGUUAGACUUGAGUGCAGUAGAGGAGAGUGGAAUUCCAUGUGUAGCGGUGAAAUGCGUAGAUAUAUGGAGGAACACCGGUGGCGAAGGCGACUCUCUGGUCUGUAACUGACGCUGAGGCUCGAAAGCGUGGGGAGCAAACAGG